GUGGGGAAUUUUGGACAAUGGGCGCAAGCCUGAUCUAGCCAUGCCGCGUGAGUGAUGAAGGCCCUAGGGUUGUAAAGCUCUUUCAGCUGGGAAGAUAAUGACGGUACCAGCAGAAGAAGCCCCGGCUAACUCCGUGCCAGCAGCCGCGGUAAUACGGAGGGGGCUAGCGUUGUUCGGAAUUACUGGGCGUAAAGCGCGCGUAGGCGGACUGAAAAGUUGGGGGUGAAAUCCCGGGGCUCAACCUCGGAACUGCCUUCAAAACUAUCAGUCUGGAGUUCGAGAGAGGUGAGUGGAAUUCCGAGUGUAGAGGUGAAAUUCGUAGAUAUUCGGAGGAACACCAGUGGCGAAGGCGGCUCACUGGCUCGAUACUGACGCUGAGGUGCGAAAGCGUGGGGAGCAAACAGGAUUAGAUACCCUUGUAGUCC
rnacentral:rRNA from 1 species